rnacentral:lncRNA from 1 species
AUGUUGGAAGUGAACUUCACCGAGUCAAGGCACCGUCCCCGGGCCGGGCCGGGCCGGGCCGGGCCGGGCCACCCCCUUCCCCUCCCCCGCGCACACACGCACGCGCUCCACUCCCGUCUACUGUACUUGUCAAAAACAUUUCAAGGGGACCUGCGGGAGCAGCGAUUGGCUGCGGCCCGCGUCCAUCAGCCGCGUUGCCCGGCAACGAGGAAACUGCUCCGCUCCCCGUCUACUGGGCAAUUGGGAGCUCGCAUACCUUCACUGCCGGUCAGAUGUCAUAAACCUUUUAUUGGCCGCGCCGCGGCGAGCCUUAAGAACACAUCAAUAAAAGCCCGCUGUCCCCCCAACUUGUCCCGGGCGCUGGGAGGGUUUCCUAGAGCGCCGGGGCGCGGAGGGCUCGGGCUCGGGCUCGGGCUCGGGCUCGGGGGGUCUCGGGAGGCUCUCGGUGCCGGUGCCAAGCCUGCACGGCUUGGGGGGAGGGGACGGGGCAUCUUUGUUAGGGGCCCGUUCCCCACCCUGGGGUCUCCCCCAGAUCGGCACCCCCGCCCCGCCCCCGGGGCCCGGGACGGCGGGGAUCCCGUCCUCGGCGGACAAUGCCAACUCCGCUCCCUUCGGGCGUCUCUCGGAAAUCGAGGCGCCGCGAAGCAGCCCGCACGUCGGGGCAGGAAACUCUUCGGACCGGGCAACUUCCCGGCUCCGGGGGCUCUGCCGUCUCCCCGCCGGGCCGCCCCCGCCGACCCCACCCCAGCCCGGGCCCUUCCCCCAGGAACUGCGGCGUCCCGGUCGGCCGAGGGCGGCGAGGUCGCCUGCACGAUGGCCUCGGACGCGCGCCGCCGCCCGGGGCCGCCGAGUCCCCCCCGCGCGCCGGCGGCAGGGGGAGCGCACUCACCUGGCCGGCGCGGGGCGCGGGGCGCGGGGCGCGGGGCGCGGGGGCGCCGCAGCCCUUCAGCGGGAGCCGACAAAGUUUCGCGGGCGCCCAGCGGGCAUCGCUCGGGGGCCCGGCUGAGGACGCGCGGGCGCGGCGCGGCGAGCCCGGGGCGGCGGGCGGCGGGCGGCGGGGGGCGGCCGCGGGCGCGGGCGCGGGCGCGGGCGCGGGCGGCAGGGGCGCGGGGGUCGCGGCGCGGCAUGGGACCUGCGGCGUCCGCCGGGCGCGCCGCGCGUCCUCCCGCCGGCCCCGCCGCUCUCCCCGCCCCGUCCCGCCUCCCGCUCGCCUCCGCCGCGGCGCGUCGGGCCGGGGCGCGCCGAGCGGCGAGAAAUUGUUUCCACUGCAAACAAAAAAAGGCGACACAUGACCAAGGCAGGAGGAGGGGAAGCGCGGGGAGGGAGGGGCGCGGAGGGGAGGGACGGAGCGGAGGGGGCGGAGGGAGCCGGAGAGAGCGAAAACGUGGGCCGGGCCGCCGGCGGCGCAGGGUGCGGACCCGCCGGGGCGCCCCCGCCCGCGCCCCCGCCCGCGCCCCCGCCCGCGCCGCGCCCGAGCGCUCCCCGGGGGCGCAGCCGGGGCCCAGGCCGGCGGGGAGGGGGGGGGGGCGGGCUCCCCAGGCGCCGCGGGGAUGGGGACGGGGACCGGGACCGGGACGGGGGGCGCAGCCGGCCCCUUCCCCAGGCUCGGGCCCCGCGGGCGGGCCGGCAGCGUGUCGCCGGAACGCUCCUGCCCCAUCCGCACGCCUUACAAGGCUCGAAAGUAAAAAUAAAAAGAAUUAUGAUGCGGGCGAGGCUCUGCGAGGGGGAGCGGAGGUUCCGGCGUCCUGGCGGGGCUCCCGGGGCGGCCCCCGGCCUCCUCCAGCGCCCACCUCGAGCCCCGGGAGCCAAGGCACAAAGGCGCCGCCGCCUCCCGGCCCGCUGGCCGCUCCUGCUGUCGUCCGCCGGCGCGUGUCUGCCGGGGGGGGGCGGGGGGAGGCCAUUACAGGCGGCCGAGCCGGAGGCCCGUGCUGGAGGCCACGCCGGGAGGGCCUCUCCAGCGGGGCCGGACCCGGCCUCCGCGCCCUCGCAUUGUGA